rnacentral:sRNA from 1 species
ACUCAACAUUAGAUCUUUAUAAAGGAUGAGUCUAAAUUGUAAGAGCAUGCCGUCUUAGAGCGGAUCCUCAACCAGUUUGUUAGUCCUAAACUUGUAUAUAAGGAGUUU